rnacentral:rRNA from 1 species
GACGUAGGGCGCGAGCGUUGUCCGGAUUUAUUGGGCGUAAAGAGCUCGUAGGCGGUUUGUCGCGUCGACUGUGAAAACCCGCAGCUUAACUGUGGGCUUGCAGCCGAUACGGGCAGGCUAGAGUUCGGUAGGGGAGACUGGAAUUCCUGGUGUAGCGGUGAAAUGCGCAGAUAUCAGGAGGAACACCGGUGGCGAAGGCGGGUCUCUGGGCCGAUACUGACGCUGAGGAGCGAGAGCGUGGGGAGCGAACAGG